rnacentral:rRNA from 1 species
AUGGCCGCCGCACGGACCUACGUCGACUUCGUGCCGUCGCACGAGCUGGUCGAGGACGCCGCCAAGCAGACCCUCGUCGUCAACCUCCCCGGGUUCAAGAAGGAGCAUCUGAGGGUGCAGAUCGACAACUACGGCCGGCUGAGGGUCAGCGGCGAGCGGCCGCUCGAGGGCGGCCAGUGGAGCCGGUUCCGCAAGGAGUUCCAGGUCCCCGAGGGCUGCGACGCCGGCGGCAUCCGCGCCAGGUUCGAGAAGGACGGCGUCCUCAACGUCACCAUGCCCAGGCUCACGCCCCUCGUGGACGACCCAAAGGCCGCGGCGGACGCUGCCGCUGCCGCCGACGCAGAAGCUGCGCGGCUCGCCGCCGCUGCCGCAGAAGAGAAGAAGCGCCAGGAGGAGAUGGAGGAGGACGCGAGGAAGCGUCAUGCGGCUGAUGCGGGUGACGAGGACGGCCACUCCAGCGACGAAGGCGAAGGCGCGCACCAGGCGGCGUCUGCCGGUGGGCAGGCGUACGGCCUCGCCAGGGACCGGAGCAGGAGCGGGAUGGUGCGGGCACUGCUCCUCGCCGUGGCGGUGGCCUUGGUUGGCGUUGCUGGCCUGUAUGCUCGGUACAGGUGGAUGGAUCCGUCGGCUGAGACGGCGCCGGCAGAUGGUGCUAUCGUCGGCCUCUUUGACUACUGA